UCAUAGACCUGAACAUGAGGAACAGUCCUGGGAAUGGCAGAGGGAAUGGUUUUAAGCACAUGCUGCUGCAGCCUUGAGUGCAAGGAGCUGUAAAAGUGGGACGUUGGCUGGAAUGAUCUGGGAAGUUCAGGAGUUCACAUGGACAAGGGACCAUUCCCAAUGGACCACCUGGUGGGAUCAUCCUGUUUUGAAGACUGAUAAAGUUUAAUAGCAGAUCCAGCCCAACUGGCCACUCUGUCUUGGCUUUGGGGUAUGCACGAGACCAUGUUUAAAUUGUAAAUCUCUUAAGAAAUGUAUAAAUCUCUGGAGAGAAUCUGGGUGCUCUGAGGUGCUCUGGUCUUACACAGUAAUUAUGGCUUGGGGUCAUUAAUCACAUUUAGGCACUGAAGGCCUGAAUCCCCUCUCCAGGGGAAUAGCAGGAGCUGGGUGUUGACUGCUGAGUGAUCCAAGCCAAGUUGAAGGCAAAAAUGCUGAAAGAGCCUUCCCAAGGAUUCUGGAAGGGCUGUUGGGCCAAGGGUUGGGCUGGAAGUUGCCCCAAGACCUGUAGGGUGUGACUCUUCCCUUCCAGUGACACCCAGGCCAGACCACGUGGUGUCCCUGGAUUAUCUCUAAAUCCUCUUGGUCAUACAGGCACUGCACCCAUUGCCUUUAUUCCCUGACAUCAUUCCUCCAUCCAUUUUUCCCCUCUUCAAGCCACAGCUCCAGCACCUCACCAGCCUUUCCCUGUGUCAAAUCCUGGGAUCCUGGUGAAGCCACCACAUGACCUUGGUCAAUGUAACCAUUCCCUUCCUAGUCUCUGCUCAAGUUCUGGAACAUCUCAAGUUCCGGAACAUCUCAAGUUCCUGGAACUCCCCCUGCCCACAUCCCUCCUGCCCUUGUGGCCAUCCCGCUUCCCUUCUUUCUUCCACACCUCCCUUAUGCCUCAUGCUGCUUCCCAAAGAUUUUUCCUGCUCUCUCCCAGCCCUUGCAGCACCAUGGGAGCCUAAGGACUGGCCUCCAAAACCUUGGGAUUCCCAACACCAGGGGGAUACCCACAUUCCAGCUGAAAAGCAGAACAGUUUUCGGGGCAAUAGCAUCACUUUGCCUCUUUUUCAGCUCUCUAUGGAGCCCACGAGUCCUUCCCUCCUACCAGACCACUCUUUCCUGAGGGGAAUCACAGCCAUCAGCCUCCAUGACACUCUAAAACCUGGCAUUUCUCAGCCAUUGCCUAUUUCUCCAUCCCAGCCACCUCUCCCACACUCUUUCCUUCCCUAAUAUCUAAGGAGCCACAGCUUAGGAGCCCCAGCUUAGCAUCACCUCCUCUAAUAGCAUAAGCCCUGGAUGAAUUAGGGCACAGGGUGUUACUGGAAUUCCUUGCCUUGUUCCAAGUGCUUGGGUCUUUCCUGUUAUUUCUGUGCUGGAUAUUCAGAGCAUAGGAAGAUGGGUUAUUAUUGGGAUUUUAGAGUCAGCAUUUGUUUUCAGAAAAGAAAAUGGAUGCAGCAGAGGGGUCUAUGUCGUACAUCCUCAGGAGGCAAAAACUGAGUGACAAUUUAAAGGCAUCAUGAUAAAAAGUUCCCUUGAAAAAAAAAUCACAAUUCUUACAGUUUGGACCAAGUAUUCCCAGUAUUGGUCAGCUUGAUCCUCCUCCCAUGCCUGCCAAAAAUAAAAACAGCUUUAGGACAGUCACUUUAUUUGAAUUUGAUGCUUUUUUUGGGUCUAGGUUAAAGGUCACAGCUUGGUCAGAGGUGGCAGGGAGGACAAACAAUGGAGAUGUAGAGCUGACAGGCAUGUGGGGGUGGAAAAUCCUGGAAGCGCUGGGUGUGUUGGCUCUGAUUGUAUUUGGGUUUUGUCAGGCUAAUUAGAAAGUGCUGCACACUCAUGCAUUGGCAGAUCCUAAACAUUGUGGUGUUGGCUGGCUGGGUAAACACAUAUGGGAUUGGAAGGAAGGGCAUGCUUUUGGAUAUCCUGGAGAGAUGGAGCAGGGUGGGAAAAUGAGGAAGAAUUGGGGAUUUUCUUUGGCUGUGCAGCACAGACUUUGUCCACAAUGGGGUAAAUUCCUCUCUCUUGGAAAGGAGAUGAGCAGACUGGAGGCACAAAAGAGAAGGAAAACAGAUGAGGUAUCCAUAAGAAACACUUUGGAGUGGGGGCAUAGCAGUGGUCCCAGCAGGAAGCCAUUUAUUCUCACAAAGGGGCUUUGCCCAAGACAUGUUUAAGCAGCUUAUGGCCAUUAGACAAAUGUUUAAUCUGCAGGAAAGUGGGCCACCAGGCAGGCAGGUGCUGGGAUGUUUUUUGAGCCAUGGAGAAGCUGGGUCUGGGAGACAGGGCAGUGCAGGGGACCCUGGGGACAGGGAACCAGAGGAGGGCAGGGUUUGCACCUCAGGGCUUGGCAGAGCAGGUGUGGCCACUGCAAAUGCCAAAAGGCUUCCUAUGGAAAGGUGAAAGGAGCCCCUGAAAUCUCCUGAGAGCAGCAGGGAUGGGCAAAGAGACCCCAGAAAGGCUGUCCCAAGUCUAGGGGCACCUCUCCCACCUGUGUGUGACCUGCAGCCAGGUGGUUCAAAUAAAACUCUCCAGAUGUGCAGCCCCACAGAGGCAGCCACUGAAAGGCAUGGAAAGCCAGACGGAAAAUUCAUUCCCACAUCUGAUCCCAGUUUGCCCUAAAUAAAGACGUGGAUCGGCCUGCGGGGGGCACGAGAAGAGAGGGAAUAACUUCAUCCUGCCCUUCUCUGAGAGCAAGGCCGGAGCUGGCAUCCCUGGGUGCCUGAGCAGCAUUCCCAGGCAGGUGCUGUCGUUUUGCACUUAUCCAAGAGAUGGCAGCCUUCCCUAAAUCUUCUCCGGGCUCUGACCACGGGCACGGGUUUCACCUUGAGCCCGGCACGGCGGCUGGCACAGCCCGUGGGAUCUCAAGCUGCAGAGAGCUGCUAAAAGCCGCCUUUCCAGCUGUGCUCCAGGGAUUUUCCUGGUUCCUCCCUGCAGCAGUGAUGGUGGAGAAGGGAUUUGGGUUUUCUCUUGGUCUUACAUUGUGAAAAAUGCGUAUUUUAUGAUUGGCUUUUCGCAAAUAUUAAAAUGAAUAGUGUGUGUGUUAUGUUAGAAAGUUAUGCUGUAUUAAUUUUCUUAGGUAGUGUGUUAAAUAUAGUUUUAGGUUAUAACAUAAUGUUAAAAUAUAAACUAUGCUAUAUAAGAUAUUUUUUUAAAGAGAGGACUCGCGCUGAGAUAGCAGCCACAGGACACCUAAAUCUUUAAAGAAAGAGAAUUUACUGCCCCAUUAUCAGAAUAAACUAACUUCUUCCUGCCUUGCUCAGCCAGGAAGACACCAUUAGGAUUAAGAGGAAGAAAUUGAUGCUGACCAGACAGAACCCUUUGUUUGAAUGGAAUUUUUGCAUCAUGUAUGAGAUGGAUGAAUUUGCAACCAGUUAUUGUUUUUAAGGGUUAAUCAUCUGUUAAUGGCUGUCCUUUUUCAGGCUUAUUUUGCCCAGAAAAGGUACCCGGAACGUCCAUAACUCUUUGUUCUUAUUGUCUCUUAUUGUCCUAAUCUCAAUUGUUCAACCUUUUAUUACUCUAAUUAUAUUGCUGUUUUUAUAACCAUUUUGUUACUAUUAAAUUUUUAAAAUUUUAAAAAUAAGUGAUUGGCGUUUUUCACAUACAUCACCCAAA